rnacentral:rRNA from 1 species
UACGGAAGGCAGCAGUGGGGAAUAUUGCACAAUGGGCGCAAGCCUGAUGCAGCCAUGCCGCGUGUAUGAAGAAGGCCUUCGGGUUGUAAAGUACUUUCAGUCGUGAGGAAGGUGUUAAGGUUAAUAACCUUAGCAAUUGACGUUAGCGACAGAAGAAGCACCGGCUAACUCCGUGCCAGCAGCCGCGGUAAUACGGAGGGUGCGAGCGUUAAUCGGAAUUACUGGGCGUAAAGGGCACGCAGGCGGUUAAUUAAGUUGGAUGUGAAAUCCCCGGGCUUAACCUGGGAAUGGCAUUCAAGACUGGUUAGCUAGAGUCUUGUAGAGGGGGUAGAAUUCCAUGUGUAGCGGUGAAAUGCGUAGAGAUGUGGAGGAAUACCGGUGGCGAAGGCGGCCCCUGGACAAAGACUGACGCUCAUGUGCGAAAGCGUGGGGAGCAAACAGGGAUAGAUACC